AUGACUCNCUUAAGGUAGCCAAAAUGCCUCGUCAUCAAUUCGUGACGCGCAUGAAUGGAUUAACGAGAUUCCCACUGUCCCUAUCUACUAUCUAGCGAAACCACAGCCAAGGGAACGGGCUUGGCAAACACAGCGGGGAAAGAAGACCCUGUUGAGCUUCCAUUGGUGCAGAUCUUGGUGGUAGUAGCAAAUAUUCAAGUGAGAUCCUUGAAGACUGAAGUGGAGAAGGGUUCCACGUGAACAGCAGUUGAAUGUGGGUCAGUCGAUCCUAAGAUAUUGGCUAAUGCCGUUUUUUGAAUAAAAUAGAGGAAUGGAGAUGUAAUCCAUCUGAUAAAUCGAAAGGGAAACGGGUUAAUAUUCCCGUACCUGGACACGGAGAUAAAUACUCAUCGUGAGAAUUUAGCGCGGUAACGCAAAUGAACUCGGAAACAUUGAGGAAAGCCCGAGCCAGAGUUCUCUUUUCUGGUUAAGGAACGGACUCCCUGGAAUCGGUUCAGCCGGAGAUAGGGAUGUUGUUUCCGUAAAGCGCCACGGUUCCUGUGGUGUCUCGUGCGCUUUGUUCGAUCCAUGAAAAUCCGAGGUACUUGAAAUAAUAGUGACAUGUAUCGAUUAUAAUUUUACUAAUUAUAUUUUAUAUGUUGUCGCAUGCGACUUUAUUGAUAAAAAUAAUUGGUA
rnacentral:ncRNA from 1 species